UGGGGAAUUUUGGACAAUGGGCGAAAGCCUGAUCCAGCAAUGCCGCGUGUGUGAAGAAGGCCUUCGGGUUGUAAAGCACUUUUGUCCGGAAAGAAAUCCUUGGCUCUAAUACAGUCGGGGGAUGACGGUACCGGAAGAAUAAGCACCGGCUAACUACGUGCCAGCAGCCGCGGUAAUACGUAGGGUGCAAGCGUUAAUCGGAAUUACUGGGCGUAAAGCGUGCGCAGGCGGUUUGCUAAGACCGAUGUGAAAUCCCCGGGCUCAACCUGGGAACUGCAUUGGUGACUGGCAGGCUAGAGUAUGGCAGAGGGGGGUAGAAUUCCACGUGUAGCAGUGAAAUGCGUAGAGAUGUGGAGGAAUACCGAUGGCGAAGGCAGCCCCCUGGGCCAAUACUGACGCUCAUGCACGAAAGCGUGGGGAGCAAACAGGAUUAGAUACCCCGGUAGUCCACGCCCUAAACGAUGUCAACUAGUUGUUGGGGAUUCAUUUCCUUAGUAACGUAGCUAACGCGUGAAGUUGACCGCCUGGGGAGUACGGUCGCAAGAUUAAAACUUAAAGGAAUUGACGGGGUCAUAGCUGUUUCCU
rnacentral:rRNA from 1 species